UUAUUAUUAUGUGUAAUGUUAGCUUUAUAUAUAAAAAAUAGUAGCAUAAUAGAAGCAUAUAUCAUUUACUUAUUUGUGACAUAACAUGUUGUAUUUAAUAAUGAUUUAUAUCACACGUAGCACAUUUUGCGAAAUAAAAUAACAAUUAUAAUGUGACAUAUCUUGUAAAAUUUAGCGUUGCAAACAUUCAUGGUACUUAUAGUAGCAAUAAUCGAACUGCUACCGGAUAUCCUCAAUUUUCUUCGGCCUCUAAACGAAUCACGUGUACAUUAUUUAGUGUUCAUGACCGGAUAUGGAAUAAAUAAGGGAAUAUUGUUUUAUUCUUUUUUCUUGUAUUCCAUUAUUAGUUUUGCCGUUGGUUCUGCUACAGUAGUAUGGAUCGUUUCGAUGAUACUGUCAAUUAGUUUACACUACUGCGCAUUAUUAAAAAUUUGCGGUUAUAGAAUAAAACAAUUUGUGGACAAGAAGGUAGUAACAUACUCUAACAAAAAAAAAGUAAUCGUCGAAGGAAUAAUUAGAACAGUAGAACUUCAUUGUAAAACAAAGAAGUAAGUAUCUAAAAUCAACGGUAUGACAAAAGUACUAAUUCAUUGUUUUAUAAAAAGUUUCAUUGUUUAAUUGGUACUUUCAAGACUCUUUAAAUUAAUUACUACAAGUUAUACAAUAUAUUUUCUUACUACUAUAAUGGUAGGCACAUGUGGCUUUGCUAUGAGUUUAUACAGAUUACUAUGUGCAUUAACAAACAUGCACGAUUUGGCUGAACUUCUGAUAGCGACCGCUUAUGCUUUGGGAUAUAAGAUUUAUCUGUUACUCGUGUCUUUUCUAGGACAAGUAAUGAUAAACCAUUCUGAAGAAUUAUUCAAUACACUGUGAGUAGCAACUUUAAUUUCAAAAUUAUGUUUAAAUAGAUUGAUAAAAUCUGUACUUAUAUGUUUAGAAUAGUUGGUAAAUAUUCACAAAAGAUCAGUCCUUAUAACAGGUCAAUGACAUAUGUUAUCAAGAUCAUCCUCCUGAGUGACAUAAAGCAGGUUUUAGCCUCAUGUUUUCACGCUCAUGCUUUGUUAAAAUGUAAUAAUCAAAAAUUUUAAUAAAUAAGAUAUAUAUUUUCAAAAAAGAAUUUAUGUAAAUAAUAAUAAUAAAAAUAUUGUUUUGCGUAGACUAGUAUAAAUAUGGACGGAGAAAAGGCUGCGCCCCUCUCCUUACACCCUUAUUCCAAAAUUUUUCCUAAUUUAACCAACUCAAUUUUAACCGCAAUUUGACCACAAUUUCAAAAAUAAAAUCGUAACGCAAAAAUAAAAUCCACACGAAGCGAUAUUCACUCCCAUCCCUUUGGUGCUUACGGCCCAAAACUACGUCAACAAUUGUUCUGCUUCAUAUGGAUUUUCGACUUUCCACGCCAAGUGGCCAAGAUCCGCAUCCAUUCCUUCGGUGCUUACAACAUAGAACUGUCAAUAAUUGUUUUGUCUCACGUGGAUUUUCGAUUUUUCAUACAAUACGAAAUUUUUUUUAUUAAUAACUUUUGUUAAAUAUUCAUAUAUUUACCUUAUAUAAUACACAAAAUUUUCUAAAGUUCUGUCUGUGUAGCCCCUUCUUUCCGAUUUUAAUUAAUUUUUACAAGCAUGUAAUACGUAUUAAGUAAAAACAAAUAGUAUAUACAAAUGCAUCUUGCGGAAACGAUUAAUUCAUAAGAUAUAUAAUUUUUUGUUACUUCGUUGGUUUUUAUUUAUUUUUGGGAGAAAAGGUGGUAUAUACAUAAAAUCGAUCUUUUGAAUAGAGUUAUAUAAGUCGGUGUAGAAUAUUAAUGUAUUUCUUUGAUCUCUGUUAAUCUUUUCGAAUUUAUUUCUAGCAUAUGAUACACUCAUCAAAAGAUAAAAAAUUUAAUUCGCGGUUUAAUUAUAUAUAUAUAUAUAUAUAUAUACAAUUUAAACAAAUUACGAAAAUGUCAUAAUACAUUAAAAAUAAUAGCAGCAAUAAAUUCUAAGGAAAA